rnacentral:rRNA from 1 species
UACAGAGGGUGCGAGCGUUAAUCGGAAUUACUGGGCGUAAAGAGCACGUAGUCGGCUUUGCAAGUCGGGUGUGAAAUCCCCGGGCUCAACCUGGGAACUGCAUCCGAGACUGCAUUGCUAGAGUAUGGGAGAGGGAAGCGGAAUUUCUGGUGUAGCAGUGAAAUGCGUAGAUAUCAGAAGGAACAUCAGUGGCGAAGGCGGCUUCCUGGACCAAUACUGACGAUCAGGUGCGAAAGCGUGGGGAGCAAACAGG